rnacentral:rRNA from 1 species
GGUAUCCUGUCUGAAUAUGGGGGGACCAUCCUCCAAGGCUAAAUACUCCUGACUGACCGAUAGUGAACCAGUACCGUGAGGGAAAGGCGAAAAGAACCCCGGCGAGGGGAGUGAAAAAGAACCUGAAACCGUGUACGUACAAGCAGUGGGAGCACGCUUAGGCGUGUGACUGCGUACCUUUUGUAUAAUGGGUCAGCGACUUAUAUUCUGUAGCAAGGUUAACCGAAUAGGGGAGCCGAAGGGAAACCGAGUCUUAACUGGGCGUUAAGUUGCAGGGUAUAGACCCGAAACCCGGUGAUCUAGCCAUGGGCAGGUUGAAGGUUGGGUAACACUAACUGGAGGACCGAACCGACUAAUGUUGAAAAAUUAGCGGAUGACUUGUGGCUGGGGGUGAAAGGCCAAUCAAACCGGGAGAUAGCUGGUUCUCCCCGAAAGCUAUUUAGGUAGCGCCUCGUGAAUUCAUCUCCGGGGGUAGAGCACUGUUUCGGCAAGGGGGUCAUCCCGA